UACGUAGGGUGCGAGCGUUAAUCGGAAUUACUGGGCGUAAAGCGUGCGCAGGCGGUUGGGCAAGACAGAUGUGAAAUGCCCGGGCUUAACCUGGGAACUGCAUUUGUGACUGCAUGGCUAGAGUUUGGCAGAGGGGGGUAGAAUUCCACGUGUAGCAGUGAAAUGCGUAGAUAUGUGGAGGAACACCGAUGGCGAAGGCAGCCCCCUGGGUCAAGACUGACGCUCAUGCACGAAAGCGUGGGGAGCAAACAGG
rnacentral:rRNA from 1 species